UCUUCCGUAGUAUAGUGGUCAGUAUGUGAGCUUGUCAUCUCAUCCGCCAGGAUGCCUGACUUCGCUCGAGACCCGGGUUCAAUUCCCGGCGGGAGAG
rnacentral:tRNA from 1 species